rnacentral:rRNA from 1 species
AACGAACGCUGGCGGCAUGCCUAACACAUGCAAGUCGAACGAGAUCUUCGGGUCUAGUGGCGCACGGGUGCGUAACGCGUGGAAAUCUGCCCUUUGGUUCGGAAUAACAGUUGGAAACGACUGCUAAUACUGGAUGAUGACGAAAGUCCAAAGAUUUAUCGCCAGAGGAUGAGCCCGCGUAGCAUUAGCUAGUUGGUGUGGUAAAGGCGCACCAAGGCGACGAUCCUUAGCUGGUCUGAGAGGAUGAUCAGCCACACUGGGACUGAGACACGGCCCAGGCUCGCACGGGAGGCAGCAGUGGGGAAUAUUGGACAAGGGGCGAAAGUCUGAUCCAGCAAUGCCGCGUGAGUUAUGACGGCCUUAGGGUUGUAAAGCUCUUUUACCCGGGAUGAUAAUGACAGUACCGGGAGAAUAAGCUCCGGCUAACUCCGUGCCAGCCGCCGCGGUAAGAC